CUUAAAUUGUUUCUGGCAAAAAAAAAAAUUCAUUCAAACCUAAUCCCCUUUAUUUACAUUAAUUCUUAUGGGGAAAUUGGAUUCGCUUAACAUCAUUUCGCUUAAAGUAGCAUUUUUCAGGAACAGAAUUACAAUGUUAAGCGAGUAGUUACUAAAAAGAAAAGGAGUACUUGUGGCACCUUAGAGACUAACAAA